rnacentral:lncRNA from 1 species
UCAAUUCCUGUUUAAGCGAUUCUGAUGUACAAAUCUAGGCCGUCCAUCUUGAUUUCUAGGAGUGAAUCAUUCAUCACUCAACCAUUAGAUCUUCACGCAGUUGAUCAAGACCGUUCGUUUAAAUCUAGGCAGGAUUUGCAAUCCAAUCCUUCGUGCCAACGAGAAUGGAUGUGGAUCAUUCGAUCUAUUUAGCAUGCAGAUCGUCAACCU